UAACCUGCCCAAGAGAUCGGGAUAACACCUGGAAACAGAUGCUAAUACCGGAUAACAACAGAUGAUGCCUAUCAACUGUUUAAAAGAUGGUUCUGCUAUCACUCUUGGAUGGACCUGCGGUGCAUUAGCUAGUUGGUAGGGUAACGGCCUACCAAGGCGAUGAUGCAUAGCCGAGUUGAGAGACUGAUCGGCCACAUUGGGACUGAGACACGGCCCAAACUCCUACGGGAGGCGCAGCU
rnacentral:rRNA from 1 species